rnacentral:lncRNA from 1 species
UGCGGCAGGGCCCUAGGCCGGUCUUCCCUACCUUCAAUCAGCGUCGAAUGAAUCUGUCGAGCCAACCUCAUCUGAUGAGCUCUUCGAUCUCGUCGUGAAGCUGAAUACACUCCUUCGUGUCGUGGCCGUGGUCAUGAUGAUAGAGGCAGAACUUGUUAGGUUUGCACUUCCCGAGGUGUGUGCGCAUCCUUUUUGGCCUUGGCAGUUGCUCCCUAACCUCCAUCAGUACUUGAAUUUUCGAUGUGUUGAGAGGGGAGUAGCUGCGAAAUCUUCCCA